rnacentral:sRNA from 1 species
AAUGCUGCUUUUACCCUACAAUUUACCCCUUUUUCACAUCUGCCCACUUUAUUGAGCAAUAUACAAAAUAUUAGUUAGUGAUGAUGAAAGCAGCAAUAGAAAUAUUAACGUUAUGUGGUUAGUGCAAUCUCAGCGACUGCGGCUAUUGGAGUUGAAUCAUUCAAGAAAUCAACCCUCGGGGAUUCCUCGUAUAUUUUUAUUAACUAGUGGCUCCUUAAUAUUUUAGUGCUGUGCUAUCCGCAAUAUUGAGGGAUCAUCAUGAUUUUUUUAUAUUUCAAUAUGAUCCAGAAUUGAAUUUUUGAAUUGCUGAAAAUUGAAAAUCUAAGUUACAGUGUAUAUAGUACGGAGGUCGGUUUCAAAAGUUUCGUUCAAGCCAAGCUACUAUCUACGC